UACGAAGGGGGCUAGCGUUGCUCGGAAUCACUGGGCGUAAAGGGUGCGUAGGCGGGUUUUUAAGUCAGAGGUGAAAUCCUGGAGCUCAACUCCAGAACUGCCUUUGAUACUGAAGAUCUUGAGUCCGGAAGAGGUGAGUGGAACUGCGAGUGUAGAGGUGAAAUUCGUAGAUAUUCGCAAGAACACCAGUGGCGAAGGCGGCUCACUGGUCCGGUACUGACGCUGAGGCACGAAAGCGUGGGGAGCAAACAAG
rnacentral:rRNA from 1 species